AAUAGGUUUCAGAAAUAUCCCAUUAAGAACAGCUGUAUAGAUACACACGCUGGUUUGAUAUAAGAUUGCAGCAUUAUCACACACCAGUGAUAAUGUGUCACAGAUAUUCCCUUCUUCGGGUGAAAGUAAGGAUCUUUUCUCUGUUUAUGGCAUCCACCUAUGCACAGGAACGGGAAUCUUCCACAUGAAAAAGCAAAGCUGCAAUCUUCCAAUUUAAUGAUUGUAAACUCUUGAUAAUCACAGAGAUGUUAGAAUUUUAUUGAUGAUGCAUAUGGCUCAAUAUAUGUUAUUGCUUUCUGUGCCUAAACCUGGAUAUUUGUUAUAAUGUUAUUUAUAGUUUAGCAUAGGCUAAUUAUUUUAAAACAUUUUUGUUAAUCUUAGAGCU
rnacentral:lncRNA from 1 species